rnacentral:rRNA from 1 species
UGCGUAGGCGGUUAUAUAAGCGAGAUGUGAAAGCCCCGGGCUUAACCUGGGAACUGCAUUUCGAACUGUAUGACUAGAAUUUUGUAGAGGGUGGUGGAAUUUCCAGUGUAGCGGUGAAAUGCGUAGAGAUUGGAAGGAACAUCAGUGGCGAAGGCGGCCACCUGGACAAAAACUGACGCUGAGGCACGAAAGCGUGGGGAGCAAACA